ACUUCUCAGAAGCCUCCCCUCCUUCUUCUCUCCCCCCCACCUCCUUUACUCCCCCCCACCACCCCCCACCGAAGAAGAGCCAGCGCCGCGAGGUGAAUCGGCUCUGGGAGGAAAAAUGGCAAGUGAGAGGAGCUGGUGGAAGUGUUUCCUCGGUCGGGCAUUCAAAGCCCUCCAAAUCUGGCCCCACUUUAGCCACCCAAUCACAGCCGCCUCCAUCCCCCCUGCGAGAACUCCCGGCGCCAAUCAGGGAAGUCUCCAUGCCAUCCUCAGCGCGCAGCAGAUUCAUUCUUCCUUGGUGCCUUUGCCCAUGCCGUUCCCCACCCCACCCCCCCUGCCAGGGGUGCCCUCCCUGCUCUAUAGUCUCAGUUCAGCCCAGGCUCGGAGACACAGCUCAAGUCGCAGCUUGUCAGGGUCCCUGGCAGCCAGGGCCCCUCCUGUUUCUCAAAGAAACACAUGGGAUACAACAUGGAGGCUCUCAAGCUUCAGCCAAGAGCUCCUCCUUUGCAGCCAUCGAAACCCACCCCAGCCGGAGACUGCCCAGCGCUCGCCCUCUUGCCAUUCAUACUUAGAGUGGGACUGCCUCCAACAAGUCAGUCCUCCCCCGAGAGUGGAAGGAUUGGCUUGUCUAGGUGGGGCUGGUCAGGAAGGCUAAGUGCCUGGGUGGAGAAGACAACAGCCGAAGCCUUUGGCACCAGAUGGAACAGCUGCGCAGCUCUCCCUGACCUUUUUCUGGGCCUGUGGCUGUAAUGAGCCUUCCAGCUCUGAACUUUUCUGACCGUGUUUCUGUCGGACUUCUACCUGUCCGAUUUUCUGGCCACUUUCCUGGGUGGACUUUGAGCUAGGAGGCUCUGCCACCUUUCAGACUUCUAGUGGGUAGGGAAUCUGAUUGGCUUGGGUUGCGUGGUCUUUUGAGUGCUCUGUUCCUUGCCUUGGCCUGAAACUCUCUUGUUUUUGUCCAUGUGGCCUCAGGCCCGGUUCACGGACUCCAAGCCCAGACUCUCCCUGAAUGUUUGCCCCUGGUGGGGUGGAGGGAUGGACACUUGUGUGCAAAAUACAGUUUCUGCAUGAGAAUCGAGACUGUUCCAAGUACCCGGUGCAUGGAUUGUAUCACACAAACGAGCCCCCUUUUCACAACCUAAGGACACAACGGCUUUAGGCUACAUGUAGGUUGCUACUGAAAUUUAUUUUGCACGUAUGCCAAUGUCUCCUAUAUAUACCGCAUUUUUCUGGCACUAACUGGUACAGUUCACAGUGGCAUAACUGAAGAUUACCUAGUGGUAGCUAAUGCUCGUUGAACACUUAUGCUGCCCUGUUAGCCCCUUUUGUACACGAUUAUUGUGUGCUUCUCCAAAACUAUGUAAUAUGGUUGCUAUUAUUCUCUAUUUUGCUGAUGAGACAAAAGCCUAGAAAAGUUAGUUAUUCGAUUACUAAAUAUAGGAGCCAGGGUUUAAAUUGUGAAUGUUAGUUUUAGACCUCGCCAGCUGUUAUUGAAGCUAAGAUUGUAAUGGAAGAUCUUGAAUGCAUAUUUGUAAAUUCGUGUCCAUGGGGAAGAUGCUAUGGGAAGACAAUGGGAAACCGGGCAGUGGUGGCGCUUGUCUUUAAUCCCAGCACUGGGGAAGCAGAGGCAGGUGGAUCUCUGUGAGUCGAGGCCAGCCUAGUCUACAGAGUGAAUUCCGGGACAGCCACCAGGGGCUGUUACACAGCCUGAAACCCUGUCUCUAGAAACAAAACAAAAAAGACAAUUGGGAAAAGUGGCCAAGAACCCCUAUUUAAAAAAAAAAAAAAAAUUAACCUUCUGAAGAUGAUGGUUUCACAUUGUCACACCCUGAGGGGGAGAUUCAUCAAAGAAAGGCAACCGAUACCUGCUAAAGGCCUUAAGACUAGGAAGUCGAGAAACAAAAUGUCUUUAAAAUAACUUCACUACCGGGUGUCACACAGGCUGACUUCCCGAGUGCAACUUUAGAGUUUUUAAUAGGUUCCAUAAAGAGCUACGUAUUCCACAGCCACCACUAGAGGGCUGUCCAGAGUUACAGCCCCGAUUUGCCCUCUAGCGGCGGCGAUUCUGAACAGAGUGUGUUUAUGCAGACUUGGGGCCUUCAGGGACUGGCCGCCGGGCAGUUGGAGUACACAUCUGGAACCAUUAGGUUCAAUCAGCCAUGAGAGGGUUUGCGAAUAGUAACAGACUGAAGAGAUCCUAUCACCAGAAUGAGACAACCUUUCAGGGAAAGAAGAUCAUGGCUCACACUUUUGACAUUUGAGAGACAGAGUUUCUUUGUGCAACAGUCCUGACUGCCUGGAACUUGAUUUGUAGACCAGGCUGGCUUCAAACUCAACAAACAUCAGGCUGCCUCUGCCUCCCAAGUGCUGGGAUCAAAGGCGUGCACCACCACUACCACCAGGCCCCAACUUGCUUUUGGUCAUGAUGUUUCAUCACAGCAAUAGCAACCCUGACUAAGACACUGGGGGAAGGAGGCAGCCUGAGCAGUGGUGGGAAUCCAUUUGAUGAAAGAAAAAUGCAAAGUCCUGAGUGAGCUGUGGCCAGAUCCUUAACGGAAUGUAAGUGACCAAAAGGGUGGUGGGGAGUCUCUGGGUUUGGCUUGAAUCCACACCCAAUUUUAGGUGACUUGACUAUUUUUUUUGUUUCAGAUUUCUUAAAGGCAUAAUUUUUAAAUUCAGUCUCCUAUGAAGACUAUUGUCAGUCUACCUUACAAAACAGUGCUCUGUUAUUAAUUAUGAUUGUUCUGUCAAACGAUGAUGGGCCCUAAAAUUGGUUUAAUCACUGAUAUUACGUGCCCUAAGCGAUGGUGGCUUAGCAUAGAAAUGAUAAAGUUCUGUCCCAUUCUCUCUUUUCUUCUCACCUUAACUAUAUAAAUAUCCUCUUUCCCUUUGACUGUAACAUCCUCUGCCUUCCUCCAUCUCAAGCCUUUCCCUCUAGGAGCUUAAAGUAGAAAUGUAAGAAGCCCCUCAUGUCAUUUAGAAGAACCAGGAAAGAAGGACUCCUACACCCUCUACCCCUUCCUUGCCCAAUUUCUGAUAUUUUUAUUUCAGAAACUAAUGACUAUUUCUUUGGGCUUGUCUUUCAAAAUUCAAGUAGUCCCAGGAGGGAGUGCUAUGUUAAGUUCCAUUGCUAUAAUACGAUUUACAGUCUUGCCUUUAAUUGCAUUAAGAGAGGGGGAGAAGGGCUGGAGAGACGGCUCAGCUGUUAAAGGCUAGGCUCACAACCAAAAAUAUAAGAGAGGGGGAGAAGGGCUGGAGAGACGGCUCAGCUGUUAAAGGCUAGGCUCACAACCAAAAAUAUAAGAGAGGGGGAGAAGUGGGGGGUCUGAAGAAGGAGAUAAAGAGGAAGCGAUUGCAAAAGAGACAAUUUUCAGACUUUAAAACCAAGUGAAUAUUGGCACAUUUGCACAGAUGUUCUGAAUGUCUUAUAUGCUAAGAAGUCCAAUGUGAAAAUGUGAGUUCUCUUAGAGCACACGUUUUUCAUCCUGAGAUUAAAACAAUGGUCUAUUAAGGCAAGCUGACCUGUUCCAAUACUGAGUAAGGCUGUUAGUGCUAUCUGGCUAGGAGACCCUAUCUGAGCAAGCCCUUCUUUCAAGUUCCCUUUACUUAUCUCUAAGGAUUAAUGGGCUAAAGUUCACAUAAUGUACUUAGCUAUUCAAGUGAAAGACAUAAAAAUGAAUGCCAAAUACAGCUUGAAUUUCACUUAGGAAAUUUUUCCACUGUUUGGUAGUAGAUACAUGUUUAUGUUGACCUGAAUUCUCCUAUAUUAAGGAGGGUUCAAGUUAAUAUCAACUGUCUGAGUUUUAAAGAAAGUGUUUACUUUUCCUUGGGACCAAAAGUUCCGAAGUAGAAAUCCAAUACCUUAGAAAUUCAGGCCAGCAGUAGCUAUGAACAGAAGCAAGUUAAGUAAAAGUAUAUUUACCUAACUUUAAAAGUGGCAAUGAAUAGACCUUAAGAGCGAGCAAUCCUAUGUACAAUGAGGAAGUCAGAGCAGGUGUAGGCUGACCUGGAGCGAGCCUAACCAGUAAUCCACACAUGAUUUCAGUUUAAGGUGCAGUAAAGUACACACCAUAUACAAAUUAUUAUUCUGGGACCUUGAAAAAAAUUAAACACAAAAAAGAUACUGUUCUUAUCUUCAAGAAGUUCAUAAAUGUAAUCGGAACACUAAGCAUACAUUUUUUUUCCAAAGUGAGACAAAAAUAUAAGCCUCUUGAACUUGC